rnacentral:rRNA from 1 species
CCUACGGGCGGCAGCAGUCGAGAAUCAUUCACAAUGGGGGAAACCCUGAUGGUGCGACGCCGCGUGGGGGAAUGAAGGUCUUCGGAUUGUAAACCCCUGUCAUGUGGGAGCAAAUUAAAAAGAUAGUACCACAAGAGGAAGAGACGGCUAACUCUGUGCCAGCAGCCGCGGUAAUACAGAGGUCUCAAGCGUUGUUCGGAAUCACUGGGCGUAAGGCGUGCGUAGGCUGUUUCGUAAGUCGUGUGUGAAAGGCGCGGGCUCAACCCGCGGACGGCACAUGAUACUGCGAGACUAGAGUAAUGGAGGGGGAACCGGAAUUCUCGGUGUAGCAGUGAAAUGCGUAGAUAUCGAGAGGAACACUCGGGGCGAAGGCGGGUUCCUGGACAUUAACUGACGCUGAGGCACGAAGGCCAGGGGAGCGAAAGGGAUUAGAUACCCGAGUAGUC